UGCUUUUCUUUCUUCUACCGUUUCACUCUUUUCAGUUUCUUAUUUUCCAAAGUGUGGCGAGGCUUAAAAAUCAAAUGGAUGCGUUACCUCUUCCUUUCCUCUUAACCUAGCAGAGUCGCUGUCAAAUGCGUUACCUCUUCGGUCUGGGGCGGUGACCCAUUCCUGACCUGAGGCAAAGCGAUUUAAACCACAUAGGAAUGGAAGUCUGGAACACAGAUUCUUGGGAGCUCUGAUCUUUAAUCCAGUAAGAACAAUCUUCUCCUCCGUUCUCCUUACUUUUUUUCCCACCUUCUCUCUUCAACAGUUUCACCACCAUGUCUUUCCAUCUGCCACUACAAGUUCCAACGCAAAGUUGUUCAUCAGAAGGGAAUUUGCUUUAGCAUAUAUCCAAAGAGGCUUGGCUUAGAAGGUGUAUCUGUUGUCAUCUCUUCUCAGCUUCUGGCAAACAGGUGGGAGAUUAGGAAAGAGAAUAGAGUGUUUGUUGAGAGCGUCCAUCGCAGUCAUCAUCUUCAACAGUGAACUACGCUUUUGUCGGUUCAAGAUAUCUGAGAGGGGAAGGAGUUACGGCACACAGAGGGGACCACAAUCACAACAAUCUGUACAAUAUCGUCUUGAUCAGCAAAUUGAAUAUGUAUAAUAAAUAGGAGCACAAGGGGUGCCCCAACCCUUGUGCAAGGAGAAAAAGGAAAACAAAAAAUGGCAAAGCAAAACCCAACAGAACAUACAGGGAAAAGCCAAGCAUAAAGGAAAAAUCCGGCCAACAAAUAAACCAGAGGCAGCAGCAGGUAUAAAAAAAUGUACGCAAGUCAAAGUGGACACGUGUAUAGUUUCAUAAUUUUUUGGUUCUUUAUUAGUGUUUAAUCGAUGUCUCCGAGUGAUAGCUCAAGUGGUAAGAGUUAUAGAGCAUAUAGAUUAGAUGAAGGGGGUCUAAGGAUCAAUCAUUUGAUGAUGCAAUUUGGUUUUUCAAUGUACCUAAAAAAGUUUUUUUUUAAAAGGAAAAAAGUGUUUAAUCGAUAUAAACUUUGGAUUGCUUUACACCUCUUUUGCAUGAGUGAAUGAUUAAUUGAUAAAUGAAAA